CACAAGCGGUGGAUCAUGUUGUUUAAUUCGAUGAUACGCGAAGAACCUUACCAGGUCUUGACAUCCCCCGCGAUGCUUUAGAGAUAAAGCGGAGGUAUUCGGGGAGACAGGUGGUGCAUGGUUGUCGUCAGCUCGUGUCGUGAGAUGUUGGGUUAAGUCCCGCAACGAGCGCAACCCCUAUUGCUAGUUACCAUCAUUAAGUUGGGGACUCUAGCGAGACUGCCAGUGAUAAACUGGAGGAAGGUGGGGAUGACGUCAAAUCAUCAUGCCCCUUAUGACCUGGGCUACAAACGUGAUACAAUGGCUGGAACAAAGGGAUGCGAAGCAGUGAUGUGGAGCGAAACCCAUAAAAACAGUCUCAGUUCGGAUUGAAGUCUGCAACUCGACUUCAUGAAGUCGGAAUCGCUAGUAAUCGCGGAUCAGAACGCCGCGGUGAAUACGUUCUCGGGGUUU
rnacentral:rRNA from 1 species